rnacentral:lncRNA from 1 species
UUAUGUUCAUCUUUCUUCACCGAAUGUAGAAAAGAAAAACAAGGUUUGAAAGCUUGAAACAUUCGGCCAUUUUGAAGCUUAAUUCAAGAUCAAGAAUUAAAGAAAUCGGAUUUGGAUCGGGGAAAUACAAAAGUGGUCGAGUAGCCGAUUUAACAGUCGACGACAUCCAAGGUAAGUCUAAUAGCAAUUUAAAUGUUAUUAAAUUGGAAUUUAUAUAAAUAUAUCUAUCAUACAUUUAGUAAGCUGGAACUAAAAGUAUAUAAAUUGAAUAAAACUUGGUGAUUUUUCUAUGUGAUAGCCGAACAUAGAAAUUAAUUUUGGGAGGUUGAUAUUCAUGGUAUAAAUUACAUGUAUAUUAGCUAAAGUAUGCUUUAAGUUCAAUGAUAUGAAACUAAUAGUAGAAUGUACAUGGAUAUGUAGUUCGAAUGUAAGAUUUAAUUUCUUGAGUUGAAUUUAAAGUUAUGAAUUAUAUAUAUAAAGUUUGAAUGUAUGAUACAAGUUCUUUGAUUCUUUGAGUUGAACUUAAUAUUAUGAAUUAUAUAUAUAUGCACAUAUGGUUCGAAUAUAUAUAUUUAAAGUUCUUGAGCUGUAUUUAAUGUAUGAAUUUUAUAUACAUAUGUGGUUCAAAUAUAGGUUACAAAGUUCUUGAGCUGAAUUUAAUGUAUGAAUUUUACUUACAUAUGUGGUUCGAAUGUUUGUUUGCUAUGGAGAAUUGAAUAUAAUUCAAUUCUUACGGAGAUACGGUUAUUGAGUAAGACUUAGGUAAACAUAAAGAAUUAUACGAAAGAUCAUCUUUGUAUAUGAGAUUAUUUCAGGCUUAAUGCCUAGCAGGCUUGAUGCCGGUGGAUUAUUUCAGGCUUAAUGCCUAGCAGGCUUGAUGCCGGUGGAUUAUUUCAGGCUUAAUGCCUAGCAGGCUUGAUGCCGGUGAAUUAUUUUAGACUUUAUGUCUAGCAGGCUUGAUGCCGGUGAAUUAAUUCCGACUUUAUGUCUAGCAGGCUUUGUGCCGGUGAAAUGAAUCGGGCUUUGUGCCUAGCAGGCUUUAUGCCGGUGUUUUAUAUAGGGCUCUAUGUUUUAUAAAUUUUAUAUGAGCAAUAGUAAAAGCAAAUAAAUGUGUUAAGAAAGUUAAAUUAUUCAGGUAUGUGUUAGCCAUUUGCUUAAUUGCUGAUGAGGUAAGUUGAUUAUUUUAAUUUGAUAAUAGUUUCAAAUGAAAUAUAGAGUAUGAGUUAAUCAUUUGAGUAUAAGCAUGUUUUAGCAUAAUGAUUUAUUGAAUAUUCGGCUUUGCUAAAUAUUUAUGUGUAUUUGGCCAUAUGGUUUGUUUAUAUGAAAAUACAAUGUGAUUUUUAUUAAAGUGUUAUAUGGUACAAAAUAUUAUGAUAUUUGGUUUAUUUUAACUUAAUGAUGGAAUAAGUAUUAAUAUAUAUAAAUGAAUUUUUGCUUAUGACUUACUAAGCUUUAAAUAGCUUACUGUGUGUAUGUUGUUCUUCGUUUUAUAGAUUUUUGGAAGUUGGUUACGAGCUCGGGGAUCGUCAGAGAAGAUUAUCACACUAUCGACUCCUCUCGGUAUUUUGUAAAUUUUGAAUUCGAUCUUAUGGCAUGUAUAGCGUAGAUGAAAUACUUGAAUUUAGAUUAUGUAAUAUUAAGCCAUGCGAAAAUGGCUUAAUUUUCUUGUUUGUGUUCGGUUUUGGGCUGAAUUAUGGUUUACGCAUACUUUAAUCAUGGAUUAAUAUUUUAUGGUUAGUAUUUAUAUGGUAAUAUAUAUAUGUGCAUGGUGAUUUCAUUCAAGUGUUUCGGUAAUUAUGUGGUUGAAGUAAGUAAGUUUGUUAUAUUCAUUAAGAUAAAUAAUGUUAAGUUAAGUGUCUAGGUUACGUAUUAUAUAUGAAAUAUAUAUGAUUUGGUUGGAUUUAGUAGUUAAGUGAAUAUAGGAGAUGAUUUAUAAAUUGAAGUAUGCUUGUAAAUGUUGGUGAUUAAUUACGUUUGGCGUAUUGAUAGAGUAAACGAAUGUAUAUAUAUUCAAAUGUGUAUUGAUUAGGAUUUAUGGCUUAGUAUAUAUAUAAUGGAUUAAUUUAUUUAUAAAAAAAAAUUGAAUUGAGUCGGGUUUUGAUCGGUAAUGCCUCGUAACACUAAUCCGGCGACGGACACGAGUCGGGGUGUUACAUUUGAUUGGUAUCAGAGCUACGGUUUAGUCGGUUCUAGGACUAACGUAGUGUGUGUGAGUCUAGCUAUACAUGCCAUAUUUAACCUACAAUAGUGUGAUAUCUCCCGACUCUGACGAAAAUUGUUUUGAUGAGACAGAUAUGUUUUCCAACCGAGCUAAUUUUGAUAGUACAGAAGUAAAUACUCAAAUGUUUGAGUGAAAAUGUGUUGAUGAUGAGUUGAGACUCAUGAAGGUAUGAAUAAGGAUAUAAGAUAUUUUGUUGUUGAUAAAUGUUGUAAUGAUAUGAGUAUAUGAGUUGUGAUAUGUGGCCUACGAUUGCUAUAUGAAUGCUUUGAUUGUGAAUUUGUGAUUUGAGUUGGCAUAUGGAUUAUGUGUUGAGGAAAAAUGUGAUUAUAAGCAAAUGUUUAUUAAAUGUUUCGAGAAUGUGAAAUUAUUAAUAAAUUGGCUAUUUGUAAUAGUAUGUGUUAUGUGCAUUUAUGUCCGAGUUAAAUUUGAAGUUUUACUACCCUCACCCCUUAUCAGUAAAAUGUUACAAUGAAAUCUGUAAGAUUUGGAUCGAAUAAGCUCACAAGUGUGGAGUUACAGAGGUUUGUGUUUGAAAGAUUACUAAUGUGGUCGAAUAAAAGAAUGGGUCAGCAAAUUGAGAUAGUGCUAUAAGAGAUAUUGAAUCGUUUUAAUGGCCAUUCGUAUUAUGCAAAGUCACUGUUAACUAAGAAGUUGAAUUUGAUGAAAUAAAAGUAUUCAGGUAUGUUAUUAGUAUUAAUUGGAAGUUUUUCCUGAAUUGAUUUCUUUUAGAGAUGGGAUAAUGUGAAAAAUUUCUGAUAAAAAAAUUAGAUAGUGGAAUAAUGAUUGAAUUGUGUUGAUAGUUGAGUACAAUGGUUAUAGUCGGGCAAUUACUAUGAUUCUUUUUGGGUAUUCUGUGUGUACAUUUAUCUUCAGAAGUAUAUGUGAUUUUUUUUUUCAAUUCAAAAAAAAAAAGAAGAAGAAGAAGAAAAUUCUUAUCGUGUGAAAACGCUAACUAAAUGUACUGAUAGAUGAAAGCAUGGUUGAUUUGUUUGGGUUAUGUUCGACAUUGUUAUCUCUUUCACUGAUAAUUUGUUUCAUUGUGUGGAUACGAAAGUCGAUGGUAAAAUCUGAAUGAGAUCAAUAUUCUAUUUCUACUGGUUAUUGUUCUGUUGAAUAUAUGCGAAGAUUAUAUUGCUUUUGUUACUGUGGAUUUCAGUAUUUAAGAAUGACAUCGUUCUUUCUGGACAUUUUCUAGGAUAUCAUUGGAAUUUUAUAUCAUUUUAUAUAGGUUGUAAUUUUUUUUCUUAGAUAUCUUAUGUGACUCCAUAUGCUGAAAUUUCGCUAUUCUGGUUUUCUUAUGAUUCCACGUGAUUAUCUGCAAGAGAUCACUAUUUGGCAAAGAGGAUUAUGUUUAUUAUGAUUUUAAUUUCUGACUUGAAAUGUGAUUGUACAGUGGUACCAUCCCCAGAGUUAUAGAAGUUUUGUUUCUGCAAUGGUUGCUAUUUAAAUCAUAUUUGAUUUUUCUCUGUGUCCAAAUGCUUCAUUAACAGUUGGGAUAAUAUCUAUUUAUAGGGUUGAGACAUUGUUCUUAUUAAGGCACAAUGAUUUCUAUUUGGUUAAGGUAAUUUCUGUAUAAUUUAGAGUUUCGAUGAAUAAUAUAUGAGAUAGUUUCAUUAUAAACUCUUUUCUAGUUCUCAUAAAGGUUUAGCAUUGAUAAAAGUGAAAAUGAUAGAAGAAUAAUAUUAAAUCUAUGAAAUAAUAUGUCUGGGUUAUCCUUAUCAAUGAGAAGAAAAGAUUCAUUCGAAAAGACUGAUUCAGUGGUUUAGUCGAAUUUGAAUUAUUUGUUUGAAAAGAUAAUUGAGUUAUAUGUGUCUAAAUCUAUUCAUAUGUAUGGAAAUAAAUUUUGAAUGAACAUGUGUGAAUUGAGGGAUAAUUUGGAAGAAGAACUUGUAUUCUUGAAGACUUGAUACCGAAUUAUAUCUAUCGGAAUGAUCCUAUCUGGGAAAUGUUGUGAUAAAUUAAAGUUAGUUUGAUUGUUGAAGUUUUCUUUUGCCCGAAGACAAUGUCGACCGAAAUAUCAGUUCUGGUUCAGUUUGAGUUUAAUAAAGAGAUUAUGAUUUUCGUCCUCAUGUUAAUGAAUGGUUCGAAAUGUAUUUCAAUACAAGAGUGUAUAGAGAUAUCUUCUAAUUUUAUACAGUUAAAGCUGCAUAAAAAGAGUUAUGUGAAAUAUUUGAUGAUUAUAAGAGUUUAAAAUGUUUAAUGUCAGAUAAAGAUUUGAACUAGGCAAAGCAAGGUUAGUUUCAAUCGUCGAAAAACUUUUAAGUCUGUAAGUGAUUCUUAUCCGAGGAAAAUGAUUAAAGUUUCGGAUAUUUUGAUUGGGCGAUGAAUACGUGAUUGAUCUUAUCACGUAAUGAACUGUUGAUAGAUGAAUUAGAGGCUAAAUAAACGUUUAUAUAAUGAAGUUGUGAAAUUUAGAAAUGUGUCAGCGAAUUAUAAGUUAAAAAGGAGUUCAACAUAAAUUGAUUUCCGGCUUAGAACCUUAGAUGUGGUAUUGAUGAUUAUUUGUUAUUUCGAGAUAGAGUGUGCAUACUGGAAGGUUCUACGAAUAUAUAUAACAAUUGUUACAAGAAAAUUUCACUGGUGUUCAUACGGGAUUAACAAGAUGUACAACAGUCCGAGAUAUGAUAUAGAUGAUGAGUGUGAAAUGUGAUAUUUCUGACUUUGUUGAUUAUAGAAAUAGAGAGUUGAUGAAUUUUGUAUAAGGAUUUUCUUAUCAUUGAAAAAGAUAAAGUUAUCUUAAAUAUGGUUAACUCUCUGAAGAAAUCUCUCUGUAAGUAUAGAUUUUUUUUUUCUAUUGAUAAAAUAGUUAAGUUAUGUGUUUCUGUGUUGGUAAAUCUGUCUAUGGUGUCAGUUAUCAUUGUUUUUGAUUGAGAUUUGAAAUUUAUAUGGUAAUUCUAAGAGAGAUUACAGUAAUCUAUGAGUAUGAAAUUGCAUUGAAAUCGGGAAACGCAAACCAAAUUCUUGAAAUAUUUAUUUGUCACUAUGUUUUAGAAUUGCAAAGUAACUAAGAAAGAUGUUUGCUAUUAUAAGCAAUUAUCGAACUCCGUUAUUUCAGGAUUGAGUUUUGUGAGAAAAUGAUUCACAGGAUUAAAAUCAUCAGAGAAUGUGAGUAGAAAAUGGAAAAAAAAAAUUAAUACAGUUAAGCAGUUUCAGCUAGGGAUGAUGUGCACUGAAAGUUAGAUCAGAAUUUUAGUUGUGAGAUUAAAGAGAUUUGAAAUUUGAAGCUAUGUGUGAAUUUGAAAUAUAUGAUGUGAAAGUGUUUCGCGAUAGUCUAAAAAAAAAAAAACAACAUUGAAUCGUCAGAAAUUGUAUGCAGACUUGAAAAGAAAAGAUAUAGAGUUUCAGAUUGGAGAUAAAGUCUUUUUGUAGGUAUCACAGUGGAAGAAAAUACUUAGAUUUGAUCGUAAAAAGAAAUUGAGUGUGAGAUUUAUUGGGUCGUAUGAGAUUAUAGAGCGUAUCGGGCUGGUUGCUUAUAGAUUGUAGUUGCCACCUGAGCUAGAAAAGAUUCACAAUGUAUUCCAUGUUUCGAUGCUCCAUAGAUACCUAUCUAAUCCUUCACAUGUGAUUAGUCCCACAGAGAUUGAGAUGCAAUCUGAUAUGACAUAUGAAGAGGAACCGAUUUGUAUUCUGACUCGUGAUAUUAAAGAAUUGAGAAAUAAGAAAAUUUAGUUAGUCAAAGUACUAUGGCAAAAACACAGAGUUGAGGAGGCAACUUGGGAGUCAGAAGAUACAAUGGAAGAGCGUUAUCCAAACCUAUUCACCGGUAAGAUUUUUGGGGACGAAAAUCCCUAAGAGGGGGAGAGUUGUAACAGCCCGAUUUUGACCCUAAUCGGAACAGUGGUUUUGGGACCACAAAAUCGAGUCUGAAAAAUAUUUUAAUAUUAUUUUCUGUGUUAAUUAUGUGUGAAUUUACAUAUGUGAAAGUUUCGUGAAUUAAUUUUAUGUUUGUGCGCUUAAUUUAAAAAAAAAAUGGCUUAAUCGCGUAAAAUGAAAAUUUGAUGGUUAAUUAAGAAAGUGCCUAAUUGUUGUUGUCUAUAUAAGUUUGAGGCCUUAUGUUGUAAUUUAGCCAAUAGUAAUAGGUAGUGGAUGGCAUAAUGAUGAUAUGUGAUUUAUAUAUAUAUAAAAUAAAAGUUAAAAUAAUAAUAUAAUAAUAUAUGUUAUAAUAAAACAAAACAUUAAAAGCCACCAUUUUAUGUUCAUCUUUCUUCACCGAAUGUAGAAAAGAAAAACAAGGUUUGAAAGCUUGAAACAUUCGGCCAUUUUGAAGCUUAAUUCAAGAUCAAGAAUUAAAGAAAUCGGAUUUGGAUCGGGGAAAUACAAAAGUGGUCGAGUAGCCAAUUUAACAGUCGACGACAUCCAAGGUAAGUCUAAUAGCAAUUUAAAUGUUAUUAAAUUGGAAUUUAUAUAAAUAUAUCUAUCAUACAUUUAGUAAGCUGGAACUAAAAGUAUAUAAAUUGAAUAAAACUUGGUGAUUUUUCUAUGUGAUAGCCGAACAUAGAAAUUAAUUUUGGGAGGUUGAUAUUAAUGGUAUAAAUUACAUGUAUAUUAGCUAAAGUAUGCUUUAAGUUCAAUGAUAUGAAACUAAUAGUAGAAUGUACAUGGAUAUGUAGUUCGAAUGUAAGAUUUAAUUUCUUGAGUUGAAUUUAAAGUUAUGAAUUAUAUAUAUAAAGUUUGAAUGUAUGAUACAAGUUCUUUGAUUCUUUGAGUUGAACUAUGAUACAAGUUCUUUGAUUCUUUGAGUUGAACUUAAUAUUAUGAAUUAUAUAUAUAUGCACAUAUGGUUCGAAUAUAUAUAUUUAAAGUUCUUGAGCUGUAUUUAAUGUAUGAAUUUUAUAUACAUAUGUGGUUCAAAUAUAGGUUACAAAGUUCUUGAGCUGAAUUUAAUGUAUGAAUUUUACUUACAUAUGUGGUUCGAAUGUUUGUUUGCUAUGGAGAAUUGAAUAUAAUUCAAUUCUUACGGAGAUACGGUUAUUGAGUAAGACUUAGGUAAACAUAAAGAAUUAUACGAAAGAUCAUCUUUGUAUAUGAGAUUAUUUCAGGCUUAAUGCCUAGCAGGCUUGAUGCCGGUGGAUUAUUUCAGGCUUAAUGCCUAGCAGGCUUGAUGCCGGUGGAUUAUUUCAGGCUUAAUGCCUAGCAGGCUUGAUGCCGGUGGAUUAUUUCAGGCUUAAUGCCUAGCAGGCUUGAUGCCGGUGAAUUAUUUUAGACUUUAUGUCUAGCAGGCUUGAUGCCGGUGAAUUAAUUCCGACUUUAUGUCUAGCAGGCUUUGUGCCGGUGAAAUGAAUCGGGCUUUGUGCCUAGCAGGCUUUAUGCCGGUGUUUUAUAUAGGGCUCUAUGUUUUAUAAAUUUUAUAUGAGCAAUAGUAAAAGCAAAUAAAUGUGUUAAGAAAGUUAAAUUAUUCAGGUAUGUGUUAGCCAUUUGCUUAAUUGCUGAUGAGGUAAGUUGAUUAUUUUAAUUUGAUAAUAGUUUCAAAUGAAAUAUAGAGUAUGAGUUAAUCAUUUAAGUAUAAGCAUGUUUUAGCAUAAUGAUUUAUUGAAUAUUCGGCUUUGCUAAAUAUUUAUGUGUAUUUGGCCAUAUGGUUUGUUUAUAUGAGAAUACAAUGUGAUUUUUAUUAAAGUGUUAUAUGGUACAAAAUAUUAUGAUAUUUGGUUUAUUUUAACUUAAUGAUGGAAUAAGUAUUAAUAUAUAUAAAUGAAUUUUUGCUUAUGACUUACUAAGCUUUAAAUAGCUUACUGUGUGUAUGUUGUUCUUCGUUUUAUAGAUUUUUGGAAGUUGGUUACGAGCUCGGGGAUCGUCAGAGAAGAUUAUCACACUAUCGACUCCUCUCGGUAUUUUGUAAAUUUUGAAUUCGAUCUUAUGGCAUGUAUAGCGUAGAUGAAAUACUUGAAUUUAGAUUAUGUAAUAUUAAGCCAUGCGAAAAUGGCUUAAUUUUCUUGUUUGUGUUCGGUUUUGGGCUGAAUUAUGGUUUACGCAUACUUUAAUCAUGG